GUGGUGGUGGCUCGGUGGUAAGGGCACUGGACUAUCACUUCAGAAGACGUACGUUCGAAUCCCAUAACC
rnacentral:tRNA from 1 species